rnacentral:tRNA from 1 species
GCUCGGCACCGGCUGGUUCGCGGCCGUGGCCGCCGAGGUCGGCCCGGGCAAGACGGUGGCGGUCGUCGGCGACGGUGCGGUCGGUCUGCUCGGCA